rnacentral:rRNA from 1 species
UGGGGAAUAUAGCACAAUGGGCGAAAGCCUGAUGCAGCGACGCCGCGUGAGGGAUGACGGCCUUCGGGUUGUAAACCUCUUUCAGCAGGGACGAAGCGCAAGUGACGGUACCUGCAGAAGAAGCACCGGCUAACUACGUGCCAGCAGCCGCGGUAAUACGUAGGGUGCAAGCGUUGUCCGGAAUUACUGGGCGUAAAGAGUUCGUAGGCGGUUUGUCGCGUCGUUUGUGAAAACCAGCAGCUCAACUGCUGGCUUGCAGGCGAUACGGGCAGACUUGAGUACUGCAGGGGAGACUGGAAUUCCUGGUGUAGCGGUGAAAUGCGCAGAUAUCAGGAGGAACACCGGUGGCGAAGGCGGGUCUCUGGGCAGUAACUGACGCUGAGGAACGAAAGCGUGGGUAGCGAACAGG